UUAUAAAGUCACUCUCAAGGCCCUACUGAGGGAGUAUGCCGACUCCAAAAGGAGAAAGAAGAAGACACAUCGGGUGGACGUGGAACGGUGGAAGAAUAGAAGACAAAAAAAGAGGUGUGUAUGUGUCGAAACUGUCCAAGCCUUUUGUCUUCAAACAACAGAAGAAUAAGAGAACAUUGGACAGAAAAAAUUCCAAAACAUCGGAAAAUCGUUCUCCAUCUCAGAGUCCACAAGGCAAAAACAAC